rnacentral:rRNA from 1 species
GAUGAACGCUGGCGGCGUGCCUAAUACAUGCAAGUCGAGCGAACGGACGAGAAGCUUGCUUUUCUGAUGUUAGCGGCGGACGGGUGAGUAACACGUGGAUAACCUACCUAUAAGACUGGGGUAACUUCGGGAAACCGGAGCUAAUACCGGAUAAUAUUUUGAACCGCAUGGUUCAAAAGUGAAAGACGGUCUUGCUGUCACUUAUAGAUGGAUCCGCGCUGCAUUAGCUAGUUGGUAAGGUAACGGCUUACCAAGGCAACGAUGCAUAGCCGACCUGAGAGGGUGAUCGGCCACACUGGAACUGAGACACGGUCCAGACUCCUACGGGAGGCAGCAGUAGGGAAUCUUCCGCAAAGGGCGAAAGCCUGACGGAGCAACGCCGCGUGAGUGAUGAAGGUCUUCGGAUCGUAAAACUCUGUUAUUAGGGAAGAACAUAUGUGUAAGUAACUGUGCACAUCUUGACGGUACCUAAUCAGAAAGCCACGGCUAACUACGUG